rnacentral:rRNA from 1 species
UACAGAGGUCUCAAGCGUUGUUCGGAUUCAUUGGGCGUAAAGGGUGCGUAGGCGGCGGUGCAAGUCAGGUGUGAAAUCCCGGGGCUCAACCCCGGAACUGCACUUGAUACUGCUCUGCUAGAGUACUGGAGAGGAGACUGGAAUUUACGGUGUAGCAGUGAAAUGCGUAGAUAUCGUAAGGAAGACCAGUGGCGAAGGCGAGUCUCUGGACAGUUACUGACGCUGAGGCACGAAGGCCAGGGGAGCAAACGGG